CUACGGGAGGCUGCAGUGGGGAAUUUUGCGCAAUGGGGGCAACCCUGACGCAGCAACGCCGCGUGAGUGAAGAAGGCCUUUGGGUCGUAAAGCUCUGUCAACAGGGAAGAAGUUACUAUGUAUAAAUAGUAUGUAGUAUUGACGGUACCUGUGGAGGAAGCAUCGGCUAACUCCGUGCCAGCAGCCGCGGUAAUACGGGGGAUGCAAGCGUUAUUCGGAAUCAUUGGGCGUAAAGGGCACGCAGGCGGCUCUGUCAGUCAGAUGUGAAAGCCCGGGGCUCAACCCCGGACGUGCAUUUGAAACAGCAGAGCUUGAGUACGGUAGAGGAGAGCGGAAUUCCUGGUGUAGAGGUGAAAUUCGUAGAUAUCAGGAGGAACACCGGUGGCGAAGGCGGCUUUCUGGACCGAAACUGACGCUGAGGUGCGAAGGCGUGGGUAGCGAACAGGAUUAGAUACCCGCGUAGUC
rnacentral:rRNA from 1 species